rnacentral:rRNA from 1 species
AGUGAACGCUGGCGGUAGGCCUAACACAUGCAAGUCGAACGGCAGCACAGUAAGAGCUCGCUCUUACGGGUGGCGAGUGGCGGACGGGUGAGGAAUACAUCGGCAUCUACUUUUUCGUGGGGGAUAACGUAGGGAAACUUACGCUAAUACCGCAUACGACCUACGGGUGAAAGCAGGGGAUCUUCGGACCUUGCGCGAUUGAAUGAGCCGAUGUCGGAUUAGCUAGUUGGCGGGGUAAAGGCCCACCAAGGCGACGAUCCGUAGCUGGUCUGAGAGGAUGAUCAGCCACACUGGAACUGAGACACGGUCCAGACUCCUACGGGAGGCAGCAGUGGGGAAUAUUGGACAAUGGGCGCAAGCCUGAUCCAGCCAUACCGCGUGGGUGAAGAAGGCCUUCGGGUUGUAAAGCCCUUUUGUUGGGAAAGAAAAGCAGCGGGUUAAUACCCCGCUGUUCUGACGGUACCCAAAGAAUAAGCACCGGCUAACUUCGUG